UGGGGAAUUUUGGACAAUGGGCGAAAGCCUGAUCCAGCCAUGCCGCGUGAGUGAAGAAGGCCUUCGGGUUGUAAAGCUCUUUUAGUCGGAAAGAAAGAGUUGCAAUGAAUAAUUGUGAUUUACGACGGUACCGACAGAAAAAGCACCGGCUAACUACGUGCCAGCAGCCGCGGUAAUACGUAGGGUGCGAGCGUUAAUCGGAAUUACUGGGCGUAAAGGGUGCGCAGGCGGUCUUGCAAGUCAGAUGUGAAAGCCCCGGGCUUAACCUGGGAAUUGCGUUUGAAACUACAAGACUAGAGUGCAGCAGAGGGGAGUGGAAUUCCAUGUGUAGCAGUGAAAUGCGUAGAGAUGUGGAAGAACACCGAUGGCGAAGGCAGCUCCCUGGGUUGACACUGACGCUCAUGCACGAAAGCGUGGGGAGCAAACA
rnacentral:rRNA from 1 species